rnacentral:lncRNA from 1 species
AACAAAUUGUGGCUCAGAUGUAUGUAAUGAUAUGGCAAAAGAGAAGCCAGUCUCGCCAUGGCUGCAAAACACCGACUGCAUGAGAGAAAGAGAGAAGUUCUCAACAGGCCAAACCGGGUUGCCACGCCAAGAUACGGGUCGGUUCAUCUCAAUGUUCCAUGAUCAGCCCAGAACUAGAAGAUACAUAAGCAUCAUCAUUAGCCCCUUUCUGUAGCAGAAUGCAUCGUAAUGGAACACUUUCCAGUUUUACACUAACAAUAAGAGAAAACGGGAAGAAAUAUGCAAAGAGCUAAGAGAAGAGAGACUGAAGAUCUGAAGGCGGCCUAAUUGUUGUGGUAAACUUGAAAAUUGGGGAAAUUUCAUCCAGAAAACCAGAGACUGAAGUACUAUGUUGCUCUUUUUUUCUCUUAAAGGCUGUUGGUUUGUUGAGAAGGGGAGAAUCAUAGGCAAAGCAGACAGGGGCAACCACCCUUGAAAGAAAUCCCAUACUCUCUCUGCAGCCUCAUUCUCUCUAUUUCUGGGCAAACCUAAUAGAUGGAAUUUGCUUGUAUGAGAGCUUAAAACGAGAAGACCUCAAUAUCUCCCACUUUGAUCAUGGAAAAGAUAUUGCCCCUUAUGCAUAGUAAAGGGGCAAAUUUGAUCAUUUUCCCUUUUUUUCUUUAGCAAAUUGAGGCUCAGAUUUGUGUAAUGACGAGGAAAAAGAGAAGCCAGCCAUGCCAUGGCUGCAACGCACGAUUGCAUGUGUGAGUUAUGCGUCUCAAUUACAGGCCAUACCGUGUUGUCAUGCCAAGGUACGGGUUGGGUACUCUCCAUGCCCGAAAUCUUGCUAGCCCAGAAAUCAUCACUGCCUCUUUAAUAGUUUUCAUAGUCAUUUUAUAGUUGUAGUAUAGUUGUGUAUACAUAUGUCUUAAGGGUGGUGCAAACUGCAAAUAAACCCAGAAACUCAAUUGUACUCUCUCUGUCUCUUUCUUUUGAAGGGCUGUUGGUUUGUUUUGAGAAAUGGAGAAUCAUAAGCAAAGCAUAGAGAGAAGGCCAACCACCCUUGAUAGAAAUCCCAUACUCUCUGCUGCCUCAUUCUUGCCUUUUAUAGGCUGACCUAACAAAAGGGAAUUCACAAGACUUCAAGCAUCUUUCGGCUAAUUCUUUCUCCUGAGGCUCAGAUUUGUUAUAAAACCAGAGAAAAGGAGACAAAGCAAUCGCCAUGGCUGGAGACCUCAGUUGUUAAGUGGAAUACCUUUACUGGGUAGCCCCGCCAAGAUACGUGCAGCUCCAAUGCCCAACCCAACUCUAUACAACUUCAUUUGUUAUUAUCACAGCCUCAUCCUAUAAUUAAAAGCUAGCAAGGGUACAUAGACCAUACCCCGAUCCUUUGUGGGGGACUAGAGAAGUUGUUUCCAACAGAGCUCAGCUCAAGAAAAUUACAGUCCAGAACCUAAAUGAUGGAAGAAAGAAAACAACAGAAACUAGUGUGUAAUUCAUCUCUCUCUUUCUCUAUUUUAAGGGCUGUUGGUUUGUUCAAAAAUGUAAGAAUCAUAGGCAAAGCAGAGAGAAGGGCAACCACCCUCUAAUAGAAAUCCCAUUACUGUCUCUGCUGCCUCAUUAGGGGCUAACCAAUCAAAAAGGGGCUCACAAGUAAUUACUUGCAAAAACGAAACAGGUCUUUUCCUUGAGGCUCAGAUCUGUGAGAUAAAAUCAAGCAAAAAGGAGACAAAAGCAACCACCAUGGCUGCAGAUCUCACUUUGCAAAACAAUGGAAAUGCCUUACCGGAUCGCCCAGCCAAGAUAUGUGCAAGCUCCAACAGGCCCGACCCAACACUAGACAACUUCAUUUGUCAUCAUCACAGCCUCAUAGGAAGGAGGAGACAGUAUACUUUAUAGCCCAACAGCACAUAAUAUAAGCCAGAAACCCAAAAACGCUCGAAAUACAUGUGAUUAGACCUUUUUCAACUAUGGUGGUUUUGGUGAAAUUUUGAAAAGGAAAUCAUCAGCGGAAGAACAGAGAGAGGACAACCACCAUUAAAGACUCCCCAAUGCCUCUCCGUUGCCUCGUUUGUUCGUCUAGAGUUGCAGAACACACUUACAUUAGGUCAUUUUUUGCCCAACUGCCUAAACAGUCUUUUAGCUUAAGAGGAAAAAAAUGUUUGAUUCUUCUUGCACAAACAACAAUCUUCAUUGACUCUAAAAAGUGGAACAGAGGGAGUAAUAAAUCAAUCAAUUAAGGGUGGUUUUGCAAUUGGAAACACUUCUAUUUGAAAGAUCAUUGGCAGCAGAGAAUGACAGAGAGGGGCAAAACCACCCAUGGAAACUCCCGACAGCUCUGUUUUAACCGCAACCUCAGAUUUAUACAAAGAUGAGUUCCCCAAAAAUGAGGCUCAGGUCUGUUACAUUCAGGGCAAAAAGAGAUCCAACGAUGCCAUGGCUGCAAAAAUCACCACAAAAUCUGGGGUUAUGCCCAGCCAAGAUAUGAGCCGGAUAAUCUCAAAUGUUCGAUUAAUAAGCUCAUAAGGAAAUGAAAGGUUGCUAAAAUCAUCAUUGCCUGUGUAAAUCCAUCAAUUAUACUAGCAUAACUUGUAUUUAAACCGAACGAAUCAAUAACAACUAGCUUGGAUGGUUAUUUCCCUAUUGUUACUUUAGAUAACGGGACCACAUAUUAUAGGUCUUCCAAAAAUAAAUUAUAUCGAUAUCAGUCAUUUUUUCCACUGGGCAGCAGAAAAUAUUAUUUGAGAAAGCAUAUUAAUUUAUAGAGUACCAAUUUAGAGAGGUUUUUACUGUAGUUUAUAUUCUCGGAGUCUUCCAAAUAGAGAGCAUCUUAGUAGUAAGUAUUUUAACUUCUCCUGAAAAGGGUAUGAAUUCAAUCUCCCACAUUUAUCAUGGAAUAUAUAUUGCCCCUUAUGCAUGGUGAAGUGGUAAAUUUGACCCUUUUCCCUAUUUUCUCAAGCAAAUUGAGACUCAGAUUUGUGUUCUGAUAAGGCAGAAGAGAAGUCAACCACGCCAUGGCUGCAACACACGAUUGCAUGAGCGAGUUAUGGGUCUCAAUUACAGGCCAUAUCGGGUUGCCACACCAAGAUACGCGGUGGGUAAUUUCCAUGCCCGAAAUUUAGAUAGCCCAGAAAUCAUCACUGUCUCUCUAAUAGUUUUCAUAGUCAUGCGGUUCUUUUAGUAUAGUUGUGGCAUUGCCUUGUGAAAGAAACCAUGAAACUCAAGUGUAUCACUGUCUCUUUCUUUUUUUAAGGGAAGUUGGUUUGUUUUGAGAAAUGGAGAAUCAUAGGCAAAGCAUAGAGAGAAGGGCAACCACCCUUGAUAAAAAUCCCAUACUCUCUAUUGCCUCAUUCUUGAUCUUGCCUUUUUUAGGCUAACCUAACAAAAGGUAAUUCACAAGACUUCAAGGUCUUUCAGCCUUUCUCCUGAGGCUCAGAUUCAUUAUAAAACUAGGCAAAAGGAGACAAACCAACCGCCAUGGCUGCAAAACAGAAUGCCUUUCUGGCUACCACACCAAGAUACGUGCAGCUCCAAUGCUCAACCCAACUCUGUACAACUUCAUUUGUUAUCAUCACAGCCUCAUCCUAUAAUUAAAAGCUAGCAAUGGUACCCUGGUCCUUUUUGGGGACUAGAGAAGUUUCCAAUAGACUCAGCUCAAUAAAAUCACCACGCAGAACCUAAAUGACUGGAAUAAAAAACAACAGAAACUAGUGUGAUCCAUCUUUUUCUCUUUUUCUAUUUUAAGGGCUGUUGGUUUGUUUAGAAAAUGGAAGAAUCAUAAGCAAAACAGAGAGAAGGGCAACACCCUUGAUUAGAAAUCCCGUAACUCUCUCUGCUGCCUCAUUCUGAGCUAAUCUAACAAAAAAGGGUUCACAAAUAAUUACUGAAAUGAUUUUUUCUUUUGAGACUCAGAUCUAUAAGAUAAAAUCAAGCACAAAGAGACAAAGCAAUCGCCAUGGCUGCAGACCUCAGUUUGCAAAACAAUGAAAAUGCCUUACCGGGUCGCCCCGCCAAGAUACGUGCAGCUGCAAUACCUGACCAAAAUCCAUUUGUCAUCAUUACAGCAUCAACAAGUGAAGAAGCAGAAGCAGUUUCCAAAAGGGUCUUUUUCUAUAGGUUCGGAUCUGCAACACAAGAUCGAGGGAAAAAGGAGACAAAGCAACCACCAUGGCUGCAGACCUCAGUUAGCAAAACAAUGGCUCCAAUAUGCCUGACCCAACUCUAGAAAACUUCAUUUGUCAUCAUUACAGCCUGAACAAGGAGUAGUAGUAUAGUGCGCCUAAAUUCAGUUAAUAUGGAGUAUAAUUUUAGCUAAACACCACACAAUUUAAGCCAAUCCAAACAAACCAUCAGCUGAAGAACAGCGAGAGGGCAACCACCAUUAAUAACUCCCCAAUGCCUCUCUCGUCGUCCAGAGUUUCAUUAACACAAACUUUGAUUUAGUACAUGUAGUAUCUUCCUGUUACAUUUCUACUUAGUCACAUUUCUAUUUUAAAAGUAUACCUAAUAAGUUUGAUAAUGCAUAUUUUCACUCUUAGAAUUCAUAGUUAGCAAAUAGAUAUAGCAAUUGUUCGGAGCUCAUUAAUAAUCAUCAGGUGUUGUAACUGAGAGCGUGUUUGUCUUUCUUUUGUUCAUAGUUUGAUAUUCUGAACAGUAAACAGAUAUCUUUUAUAAUGAGGUAGGAAGAAGGGGUGGAGUGUAGUAUGGUCAAGUGGCGGAAAUAUUGGAAGGAGACGAUCAACUUGAAAUAUUUUUUAUAAAACUUGUUUUCCCUACUUCCGUUAGAGAAUUGACUUGCUUCCAUUUUCUUUGAUAAAAUUAGCCUUGGUCACUACCUACAAGCUAUCUGUGUUCUUUGAUAAGAGAGCGAGUUGAGCUGAGGUUUUUACGGAUGAAGAACACCUGAAUCAGUAAGCUAGAGAGUAACAACUUGAAGAUUACUACACUAAGAACAGCUUGGUUCUAUUCAUCGGUUAAAUAACUUAGCAUGACAGCCUAGACACGACUAUUUACCGGUGAGCAAGGAACGAAUGCCACCAUUUCCAUGAUAACAUAAAACUAUUAACAUUCAUAUAUUGCUAAAAACUGCCCAUCACAAUGCUGCCUAAUUCAUAUUCUCCAGUGUUCUACUCUCGACGAAUUAUUCUCAGUUGAGUAAUCAACUAGGCUCAGAUAUGUCACGAAAUCGGGAAAAUGAAAGGGAUACCGCCAUAGCUGCAAACCAGAAUAGCAUACAACAACAAUCUAGUUGGAUAAGCUAAAUGAAUUCCUAAUAUCUCUUCCACUCAAUCACGUCCCAAUAGUCGUUGCACCAUUUAAAACACAGUUUAGUUAUCCUUACCAAGAUUUGGGUUUGAGCUGAGCAAAACCCGAUUAACUCAAUAAGCUCUAUAUCAUCACAGCCUACAGAUAAGCAGAAACAUAAGUAAUGAUGCUUACUUGCUGCAAACAGAGCUAGUAUUGACUGAGGAAAAAGGUACUGCAAAGCAAAUUGGACUUCAUUAAGGCUCAGAUAAGUAUAAUCGAGGCGAAGGAGACAAUGCACCCCCCAUGGCUGCAGACCUCAGUUGCACUACACAUAGGCCUACCGGGUUGCCAGGCCAAGAUACAGGUCCAGCUCCCUUGCCCCAUUAACUCCAAACACCUUAAUCUUAAUCAUCACAGCCUCUCAUCCGUAACAAAGUGGUAGGGUUGGAGAAGGUGAAAAUGACGACGACGAUGAAUGACGAUGAGUAAAACGAAGAACCAAAAGAGUCAGAUCUUAAACCUGAACCCUUCUUCCUGUAUAUUGUAUAUAUAUAGAGAGAGAGAGAGAUGAACAAUUAAUGUGUGUAUAUACACAUACUGCAGAAACUUCCGAGUUUAAGGCUCAGAUCUGUAUAAUCAGAGCAAAGGAGACAAUGCAUCCGCCAUGGCUGCAGACCUCGGUUUCACUGCCAAAAUGUCUACCGGGUUGCCCCGCCAAGAUACGGACCCUGCUCCUUUGACCCUAUGAACUCUAGACACCUUAAUCAUCAUAGCCUAUCUUCCCUUCCAUUACAACAACAAAAAUAAUAAUAAUAAUAAUAAUAACAACAACAACUUCAACCAUCGCGAAAACCCUUUUCAAGGAUUCACAGAUGAUGAUGAUGAUGAUGAGGAAAAAGAAGAAGAAGAAGAAACGGUAAAAGGGUCAAAUCUUAAACCCUAAACCUUCCUUCAAGUAUGAGAAUAUAUAUAUAUAUAUAGAUACAUAGAUGUACAUGUGUGUACACAUACACACUGCAAAAACUUGCGAUUUUUCAUCGGAAGUUUCAAUACAGCAGCAAAACCAAAGGACCCUUAAACAUAAAUGAUGGUUUGUUUGAAGUUUGCUUCGCGAAAAUGGAAAAAUCACCGGCAAACAGAGAGAGGGCAACCACCAUUAAAACUCCCCAAAUACCUCUCUGUUAGCCUCACUUUUUUUCUGUCUAGAGUUCAU